ACCGGCGUGGUAUAAUGGUUUUGAGUGUUGGACUGUGACUCUGAAGAUCAGGGUUCGAUUCCCAGCUCUGCAA